UGACAUCCAUUUUUAGUGGUGUCCGAAUUCAAAGUGGACAUAUUUAUAAUGAUGAUGUUUGUCGAGUGCACAUUAUAAACGUUAUAAACGAUUCUCGUAGUGAUUUUAGAUCGAGCAGUACUUCCUACUCAUCAAAGAGCCGUAGUUCACGGAAGAGCUGUGAAUAAAACACAUAAUCGAAGCUUAAAGGAUAUUUGCAGUAUUUGUGCUCAAAUCCAAACCAUUUCAUAUUUCAGAAGUCUCAUCCCGAGGUCACCUGAGACCAAGAGAUGUUUGUUCUAGCUCCAGUUCACCCUGAUGCUCUUCUUUUUAAUAUUUAGAGGUCCAAGCAUGAAGUGCAGCAAUACUGUUGUAUCGGUGUUAUGCAACCGAGAUCAAAGAACUGUGAUACAGUCCUUGUCCCGCAGCCACCACCUAGUGGGACCUCCGAGAUAAUUUCCUGCACCCAAAAAA